rnacentral:misc_RNA from 1 species
GAUCAUUACACAAUAACUWGGCGGGCUGGACACCCCCCGCUGGGCACUGCUUCACGGCGUGCGCGGCGGGGCCGGCCCUGCUGAAUUAUUCACCCGUGUCUUUUGCGUACUUCUUGUUUCCUGGGUGGGCUCGCCCGCCCUCAGGACCAACCACAAACCUUUUGCAAUAGCAAUCAGCGUCAGUAACAACGUAAUUAAUUACAACUUUCAACAACGGAUCUCUUGGUUCUGGCAUCGAUGAAGAACGCAGCGAAAUGCGAUACGUAGUGUGAAUUGCAGAAUUCAGUGAAUCAUCGAAUCUUUGAACGCACAUUGCGCCCUUUGGUAUUCCAAAGGGCAUGCCUGUUCGAGCGUCAUUUGUACCCUCAAGCUUUGCUUGGUGUUGGGCGUCUUUUGUCUCCAGUUCGCUGGAGACUCGCCUUAAAGUCAUUGGCAGCCGGCCUACUGGUUUCGGAGCGCAGCACAAGUCGCGCUCUUUGCCAGCCAAGGUCAGCGUCCAGCAAGCCUUUUUUUCAACCUUUGACCUCGGAUCAGGUAGGGAUACCCGCUGAACUUAAGCAUAUCAAUAA